UUAUGAAUAAAGCUGCUAUAGAUAUCUAUAUGCAGGUUGUUGUGCAGGGAUAAGUUUUUAACUCCUUUGGAUAAAUAACAAGGAGUAGGAUUACUCCAUUGUAUGGAUACUUUUGUAAGAAGCACCAAACUACCCUCUAAUGUAUCUGUGCCAUUUUGCAUUCCCAACAGCAAUGAAUGAAAUGUCCUAUUAGUCCAAAUCCUCACCAGCAUUUGGUGUUGUCAGUGUUCUGGAUUUUGGCCAUCCACAUAGGUGAAUAGUGGUAUCUCCCUGUUUUAAAUUGUAUUUGCCUGAUGACAUAUGAUGUGAAGCAUCUUUUCAUAUGCUUAGUUGCCAUCUGUAUGUCUUCUUUGUUGAUUUCUGAGUUCAUGAAGGUGCAUAUUGCCCACCUAACAAAGGACCUUUCAUUAGAAGGUGGUUGGUAAAUGUUUGUUUAGGUAAUUGAAUUUAGCUGCAAAGAAUAUAUAACCGACCUCACGGACAACUUCUAGACUCAUAAGUAAGCUUUAGUUCACUGGGGACAUCUUCCAAAUAUGGCAAUAUUUGAACAAUCAAAAUUUUCCUUUGGAAAGUAGUGAACAAAGGAGACUCAUAGGGUUCUCUGGUGGGGCAGAGGCUUAAAGAUGUAGCAUUGUCACUGCAGCAGCUCAGGUCACUGGGAUUUGAUCCUUGCCCCGGAAACUCCCACAUGUUGCAAGUGCGGCCAAAAAAUAAACAAAAGAUAGACUGAGAGGGAACCCCUCUAGUACACAUGCUUUAUUAGAGGACCAUAAAACAUAUCAUUAAAUGAAAAGGACAGAUUUUCAGCUUUCUCACUGCCAUUUUGCAGUUGCUCAUAAAUCUUUGAGAGGGCUUCACCUUUCAUUAAAUGAAAUCCCGACUGGACCAUUGUGAUGUGACAGGUAAUUCGGCCUCUUCAACUCUGUCAACAGAGAUAGAAAACUGAAUGAAAAUUGAAUUAUUGUAAAUCAACCUCUGUACCUCAGUUUAUUUUCCCGGGGUAAAGGCAAAGUGAGCAUCUUCCAUUAACUCAUAGUGAAAACAUAAUUCUUUGAAUUGAUUAUAGGAGUCUUUACUAAUUAAGUGAUCCCCAGAGUCACUCCUUUAAAUAUCUAAACAUAAUUUGGUGCAACAUAUUUAGUAAUUACCCAGAAAAUGGAAUGCAUUUAUUCGAUAACUGAAGAGCUUGAACUAUGCAUGCUUUAAUCAGAAAGCCAUGACAUUUGCAUUUAAACUUUACUCUCACAGGUCAGAAUGAAGAAAUAGUUAUGAAUAUGCAUGACUAGAGGCAUGGAAAUAUCAUUAUUUAUUUAGUCAUCCCGAAAAGUUAUUGUCGUGUUUCUCUGUUGAGAUUUUCAGUACAUUUUAUUAACCUGAAAAUAACUGAGACGUUCUUAUGUCUAGCAGGUGUUGUUUUUAAAUAUCAAAGUGUUUUAAGAAACUCCUGGAUAUUCAAUGGAUUGGAAAUGAUAACUAUUUUCUAAUACUUUUGAAAUUUUAUUCUGUGUUUUUAAACAGUUAAUUGAAGCAUAAUAACAGUUUAUUUGUUUAUUUAUUUAUUUUUGUCUUUUUAGGUUAGCACCUGUGGCAUAUGGAAGUUCCCAGACUAUGGGUCAAAUCAGAGCUAUAGCUGCCAGCCUAUGCCACAGCCACAGCAAUGCUGGAUCCAAGCCAUGUCUGUGACCUACACCACAGCUCAUAGCAAUUCCAGAUCCUUAACCCACUGAGCAAGGCCAGGAAUCAAACCGACAUGCUCAUGGAUACUAGUUGGGUUUGUUAACUCCCCACACUUUUAUUUAUUAAUACAAUUUUUAGUUAAAAAGUUUUAGAACUACAGAAAAGUUACAGUGAUGUACAAAGACAUUCUUCAUAUCUCAAACUCAGUUCCCCCGUUUUUUGUUUGUUUAUUUGUUUGCUUUUUAGGGCCACAUCAGUGGCACAUAGAGUUUCCCAGGCUGGGGUUGAAUCAGAGAUCAGAGCUGCAGCUGCCAGCCUACACCACAGCCACAAAACAGCAAUGUGGAUCCAAGACGCAUCUGCCACCUACACAGCUCAUGGCAACACUAGAUCCUUAACCCACUGAGCAAGGCCAGGGAUCAAACCCACAUCCUCUGGGAUACUAGUUGGAUCCUUAAUCUGCUACAAUAGGAACUCGUCCCCUGUUAUUAACAUCUUAUGUUACUAUAGAAUAUUUGUCAUAACUACUGAAAUGAUAAUGGCACCUUAUUAUUAACUAAAGUCCAUGCUUUUGUUAGAUUUCCUUUGUUUUUACCUAACAAUCACACUUGCACAUCGUCAUCAUGACUCCCUUAGUCUCCUCCUCAUUGCGACAGUUUCUAAGAGUUUUCUUGUUUUUUGAUAACCCUGACAUUUUUGAAGUCUACUGGUCAGGCAUUUUGUAGAAUGUCCCUUAACUGGAAUGUGAUGACUUUUUUCAUGAUAACAGUGCCGCUGUAUGUUUUUCUGUGGAUGACCACAGAGGAAAAGUGUCAUUCUCAUCACGUUACAUCCAGGACACAUAUUAUCUACAUGACUCAUCCCUGUUGAUGUUAACCUUGAUCAUAUGGCUUGAGGUGAUGCUGACAGGUUACUGCACGCUUUCUUUUCUUCCUUCCCCACUGGACUCUGGAAGGCAGUGUGUAGCCCACACUUAGGGAUGGCUAGUUAUGCUCCACCCCUAGAGAAGAGAGCAUCUAGAAAAACUGUUUGGAAUUCUUCUUCAUCGGAGAUUUGUUUAUUCUAUUUAUUGAAUUAUUUAUUUAAGUAAGUAAGGACUAAUGGGUACUCAUCCUCUGUUUUAUAAUUUAUUACUAUUCUAUUCAUUUUGUUGUUCAAAUUAUUCCACUUUGGCCAACAGAAGCGCUUUCAUUUGGGUCCCUGUAUCCCUUUAACAUACUCCCAUCAUUGUAACUGUUUGAGUCCUGGCUUAUUUUGGACACUGCAUGAUGUUCCAGGCUCAUUUUUUAUAUUUAUUGCUCCAGCACUAGAAUCAGCCAUUUCUUCAAGGACUCUUAGCUUAUUUUACUAUACAAAAAUGAUAUUAGAGAAAAGAUUUUGGUGUGAGAGUUGUUCGUUGCUACUGGGGUAUUGUUUCUAGGUCCUCUCAGGUGGCAGUGAAAAAAAAAAUGUGUGCAAAUUAGCCCAUCCUUGUAUAAAAAGCAGUAAAUAUUUCUAUAUGUAUUCAUCUAUGAAUCCAUGUUAAGCUCAAAAUGAUUCAUAAAGAUGCCUCCAAAUCUAAUUCAUUGUCCCAGGCAUCAUUCUACCUUCUCCCCUUGCUUUUCUUUAAGCCUCUUUUCUAACAGUGAGUCUAACCCAUGACUCCCGCUAUCUGCUAUCCAUUUACUGAAAUAUUCAAUUCUAGUAUACAUGUAUAGUGACUUCAGAAUCCUCAUUUUUUUUUUAUCUCUACAGGAGAAAACUUUACCAACAAGUAUGCAAACACUUUUGCUAUUAGCUUUACAGUCUCCACUCAUUUUCAAAAUCACUUAUGCAACUUUCCCCCAUUUUGCCUAAUUCCCUUCAGCUAGAAUAUUUAUACAUUUAUUAUACAGAUUCUUUUCCCAUAAUUUGCAUUCCAUUAUAGGAUCUCCCAAACUUAAAAAAUUUUUAAUCUGGAGUUCCCAUUGUGGCUCAACUGGUUGAGAAACCAACUAGUAUCCAUGAAGAUGUGGGUUUGAUCCCUGGUCUUUCUCAGUGGGUCAAGGAUCUGGCAUUGCCAUGAGCUGUGGUGUAGGCCAAAAACAUAGCUCAGAUCCCACACAUUGAUGUGACUGUGGUGUAGGCUAACAGAUGCAGCUCUGAUUUGACCCCUAGCCUGGGAA
rnacentral:lncRNA from 1 species